AAGAAUAUUGGAAGAGAAGAGUGAUUUGCUCUUAAUGCUGAAUGCAGCGUUGUUGUAUCUAGAAAAAUCCCAUCGAAACUCAAGAACCCUAAUAGUUUUACCAUUCAGAUCGAUAUUAGAGGUGUAAAUUUUGGCAAGGCACUGUGUAAUCUUGGAGAGAAAGUAUAAACUUAAUGCCUCUGUUCAUAUACCAUAGGUUAGAUUUAGGUGACCUUAGGGAAACUUCGAUAACCCUUCAACUAGCUUAUAUGCCUGUAGUUCAUCUAAAGGGGGUUUUGGAGGAUCUUUUAGUGAGGGCUUGACCGUUCAUCUUACUCGUUGACUUUAUCAUUUUUGACUUUGAGGAGGAUUUAAACAUACCCAUUCUGUUAGGUAAAUCAUUUCUAGGUAUCUCUAAGGCCACUAUAGAUGUGGGUAAAGGAAAGAUGAUUAUGGAAGUAGGUAGGGAGGUAAAAACAUUUUAAGUGUGUGGAACCUGAGCUUAAGGUGAAGGAAAUGUCGGCUAAAGUGUCAAACCGUUCAAGACUACUGGUGGGGAGGUUAUUUCUCCAAGAUUUUGACGAAUUCCUUUCUUGUUUUGUUUCUGCUUUGCAGCCCGUCUUUGUUCUCCGUUGAACAAUUGGACGGUGGGUGUUGGGGUGUCCGGGGUUGUGGUUUUAUCUCGGUUUUUGCUGUGAUCGCUUUCUACGGUGGUGUGAAUCUUUCCUAGCCUUCCAUGCGGUGAUUUUAAUCGUCUUCUUGUUCCAUUUGGGUGCCUGACCUUGUCAACUCUCGUUCGUGGGUCUCGCCCUGAUCGACGUUGGAUUUGUUACGUGACUGGUCUUGGCGUCCUCUCUACUUCUUGCGUUUUUGCGUGGAUUCUGCUCAUUAUUUCGAAGAUGAAGGUGCCCAUGAUUUAGUCUAUUGUUCUUUCUUUCUUUUCUCUUUAUUUCGGUUUUAGCCUUUGCUUAAUCUGGGUUGUAAGCGGACUGUUAAACUAGUUACUGUUAAACUAGUUCUUUCUUUUUCUUUGUUAGUUUUGUUGCUCUUUAUUUUCUUUUCUA